rnacentral:rRNA from 1 species
AGAGUUUGAUCCUGGCUCAGAUUGAACGCUGGCGGCAUGUCUUACACAUGCAAGUCGAACGGCAGCGCGGGGGGUAACUCCUGGCGGCGAGUGGCGAACGGGUGAGUAAUAUAUCGGAACGUGCCCUGGAGUGGGGGAUAACUAGUCGAAAGAUUAGCUAAUACCGCAUACGAUCUACGGAUGAAAGUGGGGGAUUCGCAAGAACCUCAUGCUCGUGGAGCGGCCGAUAUCUGAUUAGCUAGUUGGUAGGGUAAAAGCCUACCAAGGCGACGAUCAGUAGCUGGUUUGAGAGAACGACCAGCCACACUGGGACUGAGACACGGCCCAGACUCCUACGGGAGGCAGCAGUGGGGAAUUUUGGACAAUGGGGGCAACCCUGAUCCAGCAAUGCCGCGUGUGUGAAGAAGGCCUUCGGAUAGUAAAGCACUUUUGUCAGGGAAGAAACGGUGAGGG